AUUGAACGCUGGCGGCAUGCCUUGCACAUGCAAGUCGAACGGCAGCACGGGUGCUUGCACCUGGUGGCGAGUGGCGAACGGGUGAGUAAAGUAUCGGAACGUGCCUGGUAGUGGGGGAUAACUAGUCGAAAGACUAGCUAGUACCGCAUACGAGCUAAGGAUGAAAGCAGGGGACCUUCGGGCCUUGUGCUCUCAGAGCGGCCGAUAUCAGGUUAGCUAGUUGGUGGGGUAGAAGCCCACCAAGGCGACGAUCAAUAGCUGGUCUGAGAGGACGACCAGCCACACUGGAACUGAGACACGGUCCAGACUCCUACGGGAGGCAGCAGUGGGGAAUUUUGGACAAUGGGGGCAACCCUGAUCCAGCAAUGCCGCGUGAGUGAAGAAGGCCCUCGGGUUGUAAAGCUCUUUUGUCAGGGAAGAAAAGGCUGUGGCUAAUAUCCACAGCUGCUGACGGUACCUGAAGAAUAAGCACCGGCUAACUACGUGCCAGCCGCCGCGGUAA
rnacentral:rRNA from 1 species